rnacentral:rRNA from 1 species
ACUCCUACGGGAGGCAGCAGUGGGGAAUAUUGCACAAUGGGGGAAACCCUGAUGCAGCCAUGCCGCGUGUGUGAAGAAGGCCUUCGGGUUGUAAAGCACUUUCAGUAGGGAGGAAGGUAGUGUAGUUAACACCUGCAUUAUUUGACGUUACCUACAGAAGAAGCACCGGCUAACUCCGUGCCAGCAGCCGCGGUAAUACGGAGGGUGCGAGCGUUAAUCGGAAUUACUGGGCGUAAAGCGCAUGCAGGCGGCCUGUUAAGUCAGAUGUGAAAGCCCGGGGCUUAACCUCGGAAUUGCAUUUGAAACUGGCAGGCUAGAGUCUUGUAGAGGGGGGUAGAAUUUCAGGUGUAGCGGU